GGGUUUCCCAACUGGUGGCCCGUGGGCCAAAUUGUUUUAUUUGCCCCCCCAAAAUACAAAUAUAAAUACGUUUUUGUUUCAUAGUAGGACAUAAGACUGCAAUAACACCAGGAAAUCAGCGCCAAGUGAUUUUCAUUUAAGAAAUCUGUUCCCAAGUAUUCCCAUGCAUAAGUGAUUGUAUACAAAUAAGCAAGGUUUGAAAUUGUUUUAUGCAAACAUUAUACUGUAUCUGUUUGGCCCUCUUGCAGUCAAUUUGCAGUCUACAAAUUAUUUGUAAUUGUGUUCCGGUCCCCCGACCAUCCACUCAAGAAUAAAUCGGCCCGCGGCUGAAUCUAGUUGAUCCCUGAUAUACACCCCCUACCAACCUAUGGUGUGCCAGCCAGACCUGGGUUUCAAAUACUUAAAUCUAUUAAAUACUUUGCCUGUUUGAGCUUGCCUUAUUUAAUAAAUCAAUAGUAAAGUCCCCAAACUGCAAACCCCACCCGACAUUCCAUGCCAGGUCUAGCUAAAAUCUCUAGCCCUAUGACCACUUAAACCUGCCCAAAAGGCCUGAAAACUAGAACAUUUCUUUACACAGAGAGAGGUGUUGCAGCAUUUAUCCAAUAAACCCUUUUUCCAUAGCAUUAUCGAGCCAAUUAGGAAAGAAUAUCAAUGGAACUUGUAAGGACUUCAGAAGCCAAUUUUGGUGUAUAAUUUGAAAUAAAUCCCUUUUCUACAUGUGCAUAACUACAGUGCAUUUGGAAAGUAUUUAGACCCCCUUCACUUUCACAUUUUGUUACUUUACAGCCUUAUUCUAAAAUUGACUUAAAUCUGGGUUGUCUCCUCAAUCUACAUACAUUACCCCAUUAUGACAAAGUAAAAACAGGUUUAGAAAUGUUUACAAAUAUAUUAAAAAUAACACUGAAAUAUCCCAAGUAUUCAGACCCUUUACUCGGUACUUUGUUGAAGCACCUUCAGCAGCAAUUACAGCCCCGAGUCUACUUGGGUAUGACACUACAAGCCUGGCACACCUGUAUUUGGGGGAGUUUCUCCCAUUCUUCUCUGCAGAUCCUAUCAAGCUCUGUCAGGUUGGAUGGGAAGGGUUGCUGCACAGCUAUUUUCAGGUCUCUCCAAAGAACUUCGAUCAGGCUCAGGUUGGGCCACUCCAGGACGUGUGUCCCUAAGACUCUCCUACGUUGUCUUGGCUGUGUGCUUAGGGUAGUUGUCCUGUUUGGAAGGUGAACCUUUGCCCCCAGCCUGUCCUGAGCAGGUUUUCAUCAAGGAUCUCUCUGUACUUUGUUCUGUUCAUCUUUCCCUCGAUACUGACUGGUCUCCCUGUUGCUGAAAAAAAUCCCCACAGCAUGAUACUGCCACCAUGCUUCACCGUAGGGAUGGUGCCAAGUUUCUUCCAGAUAUGAUGCUUGGCAUUCAGGCCAAAAGGUUACAUCUUGGUUUCAUCAGACCAGAGAAUCUCUUGUUUCUCAGGGGCUGAGUCUUUAGGUGCCUUUUGGCAAACUCCAAGCGGGCUGCCGUGUGGCUUUUUACUGAGGAGUGGCUUCCGUCUGGCCACUCUACCAUAAAGGCCUGAUUGGUAGAGUGCUACAGAGAUGUUUGUCCUUCUGGAAGGUUCUCCACAGAGGAGCUCUGGAGCGCUUUGAGUGACCAUUGGGUUUUGUCACCUCCCUAAUGAAAAUAACGUUAACGCUAUAUUGUCGCCCAUACUGAAAAUCUUAGCUAGGCAAGCAAAUAUUAACGUAACUAAGUUUGUAGACAAAUUAUCGACUUGUCAGUCAUUAUCUUCGCCGUCAGUGGCGCCCGUUCUAUGUAAUUUCUAUUGUCAACAGAAAGGACGCCAAAGACGGCGAAGCUAAAUAAUCGACUGUCAGUCAUUGGGGCACAUUUACACCUUAACACUGAGGAUAAUAAUCAUUGUAACAGCAUGACCUUGAGUGUGAUGUUGCUUUUAUACAACAGUUCUACAAGCGCCAUUUAUUAGUUGACAGUAAUAAGCACCAAAAGAUUUUAUUUGGCUCCGCCAACAAGUUCCACAACUGGACUGGAGCCAAGCACCAAACAUUUUCCUGCACACUAGCUUGCUACUUUCUGUAGGUCUACACGUUACCGUUUAAUUUAACUCAAAUGUUAUUUGUGGGAAUAUGUUCAUCUUUGCGGUGCGAAGUUUGUUACAAUCUAAGUUAACGAUCGUUAAUGUAAUUAACGGUUAUUAGAACACCUGUAAAGCGGAGUGAUACAUGAAUAGUUAAAAGUCUGUGCUGUUAUACUCUACUCCAAUCAAAUAACUUGGUCGUAUUAUAAAUACUUGUGAACAUUCAGUUAUUUACGCUCUUUUCAUCGAAAGCAGUGGGACCGUUUUACUUGCUUUUAGUAACGUUCAAGAUGCUUUGGUGGUGCGUUAUCUGCUGCGUUUUUAUUACUUUUUCAUUGAAGCUGAGCCUUAUCAAUAUAUUGCACAGUCGCAGCCCUGCUUUCCAGUUGCUCUGUGGUAUUGACGGAUGCACUGAGGAAUAUAGAGUGUACAAUUCCUUCUAUCAUGUAAAGAGAAGACACCUUCAACACCUACUUGAAGGCACCGGACCAGGUCAACAGCCAUCGGCGGAAGUCCACUACCACCAGAACAAGUAGGUAGCUAGUUAGGAUUAUUUUUCUCCUGGAUUUAAAAAAAUAUAUAUUUUAUGAACUAUUUGAUAAUUUCAGCUAUAAUUGCUAAUGCUGGAUUAAUGUGAAAAGAAUCUGAUAAAUGGGUGCAAAAUACUUAAAGCUCUUGGUGAAACUAAAUACAAUUUCAAAUAAUAAUCUCUUUGAUAUGUGGUACACAGGACAACAUUCAUCCCGAUCAGCUUCUAGCUAACUCCAAACACCGGACUUGGAUGAAGGGCAAAGGGGCAUUGACCAACAUGGAGCUGUCAGUGCAACAACACAUGCCACUGCUUUUGUGAUAAAUGCCAGAGCCAAGCAUUGUCUCACAGAAAGGCGUGAAUGACAUUGUUGCUGGGGUACAGCAGUAUCAAUCAUCACUAUUGGACAACCUCAGGAAGCAGGUGGAGGGAGUGCUAAAGUAGAGGUCGACCGAUUUAAUUCGGGCCGAUUUCAAGUUUUCAUAACAAUCGGAAAUCGGUAUUUGAGCGCCGAUUUGAAACAUUUUUUCUAUAUAUAUAUCUUAUUUAAUUAGGCAAGUCAGUUAACACAUUCUUAUUUUCAAUGACUGCCUAGGAAUGGUGGGUUAACUGCCUCGUUCAGGGGCAGAAAGACAGAUUUUCACCUUGUCAGCUCGGGGGAUCCAAUCUUGCAACCUUACAGUUAACUAGUCCAACGCAAUAACGACCUGCCUCUCGUUGCACUCCACAAGGAGACUGCCUGUUACGCGAAUGCAGUAAGCCAAGGUAAGUUGCUAGCUAGCAUUAAACUUAUCUUAUAAAAAUAAAUCAUAAUCACUAGUUAACUACACAUGGUUGAUAUUACUAGAUAUUAUCUAGCGUGUCCUGCGCUGCAUAUAAUCUGACUGAGCAUACAAGUAUCUGACUGAGCGGUGCUAGGCAGAAGCAGGCGUGUAAACAUUCAUUCAAACAGCCCUUUCGUGCGUUUUGCCAGCAGCACUUCGUUAUGCGUCAAGCAUUGCACUGUUUAUGACUUCAAGCCUAUCAACUCCCGAGAUGAGGCUGGUGUAACCGAAGUGAAAUGGCUGGCUAGUUAGCGCGCGCUAAUAGCGUUUCAAACUUCACUCGCUCUAAGCCUUCUAGUAGUUAUUCCCCUUGCUCUGCAUCGGUAACGCUGAGCCCAGGGAGCGAGGAGAAGGACGGAAGCUAUACUGUUACACUGGCAAUACUAAAGUGCCUAUAAGAACAUCUAAUAGUCAAAGGUUAAUGAAAUACAAAUGGUAUAGAGGGAAAUAGUCCUAUAAUAACUACAACCUAAAGUCUUACCUGGGAAUAUUGGAGACUCGUGUUAAAAGGAACCACCAGCUUUCAUAUGUUCUCAUGUUCUGAGCAAGGAACUGAAACGUUAGCCUUCUUACAUUGCACUUUUACUUUCUUCAACACUUUGUUUUUGUAUUAUUUAAACCAAAUUGAACACGUUUAAUUAUUUACUUGAGGCUAAAUUGAUUUUGAUGUCUAAUUUUGUAAAACAUAAUACCACGACAGACUUCAAACCUGGCCAGAAAAAAUGUUGAAGGGCUUUGUUUAAAGUCUUUGUGAUCCCCAAAUGUCCAGACCACGCCUGGUCAUGGGCGAGUGACAGCACCUGCUGUCGGAACAACCACUUGACACACUUCACUCCAGUCACUGUUAUGAGCUUCCCAUUUACACAUCAAAACUCCUGCUUCCAUGAAGUAGGCGGUCUCCCUAGUUUUAGCUUCCUCAGUGGAAAUUACUGAAGCAAAACACUUGAAGACUUGAAGACCCUUCUGACAUUCAAUCACCUUCUUGGGGGUGACAGACGAUGUCAUGUAAUUGGUGCACGAUUUCACUUUCCCUUGCCAUAGUUUUUACGGGGGUAAAAACCAUCAGCAUUGCAGAAGGAAUACUCAGUGCAGUGUCUUCUACCUCAACAUUCUCAAAAAUGGAACUAGACAAAUCCACCACAUCUCCCAGCUUGUGAGAUUGUGCCCUUGUUAACACACAAGCAGGAAAAACAGGGAAAUGCUUGAACCAAUUUAUCGUCUACUACCUAACACAGGAGUGACGUUACCACCAGCGAUAUCGUUCUCUAGUAGCAAUGUGGGAACGCAACACCCUGCUACACUUAGCUCCCUGUGGAGUGAAAGUAGUAUGGGAUUGCAGGUGCGGGUAAGGAUGGCAAAGAACUUUACUGUUACCAGGGAAUGUAUUUCCUUCACACGGUAAUUUGGGAAAGGGGGCUGGAUGGAACCAAAGCAAAGAAAGUAAAUGUUAGUCCUCUACCUUACCUGCCUAGCCACUACUUACCUAACCUUAACGCCACCUGGCGCGCUAACCAAAAUACAGGGGGUGGUCUGCCCAGGUCUUACGUAGUGUGCAUAGACAGAGUACACACUACGGGUAUAUGUAUGCCCGCAGGCUUCUUGCCUAAGCACACCCAAGGUGCCUUCCCCUUCCCCCCUGGGAACAAAUGAAAUAAUUAACUUUAAAGUGAACAAUUUCAAUAAUCACAAACAGUCCUUUUGGCAUACGCAUACCUCAGUAGGACUGGCUAUAAAAUCCUUUACAGAACAACAACGAAACACAGGACAUACAAAGAAGCACUCUCCUUCCUAACAAAGGAACACAGGCUUUUAUCCAGCUGCAGAAGGAGUUUGUAAUUUCCAACAGCUGGAUCCCCUAACGAAAGGGUGGGAUUAGACCUCCACUCUGCAAUGGGGCCAACCAAUCAGCUGCUUGGGGGAAUCCAGGAAGCCAUUUCCUGAAAUACAUACUGGGGAACAUAACAUAUGCACACAUACACAACUGAUAAUUGAGCUAAUAGAGAUUGUACAGAUAGUAUUUGCAACUGUUCUUUCCAUUGCGACUGUGUCUAGGUUGAAGUUACUCAUUGAAAGUCAUUUGAAGCAUUGGAAGGAGCUUUUUUCAGACUGCAAUGUUACACCUAAACAGCAUUAUAUGAUACAUUUGCCACCACAGAUAGUCAUUGGGUCCAAUGGUAAGACGUGUAUGCGGUUCGAGUUUAAACAUUGUUUCUUUAAACAAUGCACCUCCAAGCUCAAUUGAAAAAAUAUUUUCAAGUCUUUGAUCAAUCAGAACCAAAUAUAUGAAGCUGCCAAAGUGUUGACAGUUCAAUGCAACCAUUUUUUUUUUCAAAUGAAAGGGAGGUGGGACCUGUAUCAAAGGUUGAAGAGCUUUGGUUGAAGAUCUAUUCAUGUGGAACAUUGAGUGACUUCCUAGAUUUCAAUGAAGUAAACCAUGCUGUAUCUGUCAUGGCUUGUAAUAAAUACAUAACUCAGAAGUCCAUGAUCUUUGCUAAAGUUCUGAAUUCCACAAUUUGGACUGGUCAAAAACAUAUUUCUUGUUGAUUCUGGGCUUUAUUGUUUGGAUUAUCAACCAUAUCAAAUGAUAUGCUUUGAUAGAAACAUGGCUUGUCAAGUUGAGGUCCAACACCUUGCACAGGCCACUGAGUUAGCGGAUGCUGAAAAGCUGGUUGAGUUUACCUCCUAUUACACAAUUAGCAACGAGCCAAACUUUAUGUACAAGUCAAAUACCAUCUUGGGGAUGUAAUAGAAUUGUACAACAGUUCAAAUGACUCUGUGUUCCCCAGAUAUGAAAAGUGUACUGUCUUUGUUCUGUACUGUAUUUUGCCUACAUGAUUGCUGUGCUGUGUGUAAGAUUGACAAUA